rnacentral:rRNA from 1 species
CCUACGGGUGGCAGCAGUGGGGAAUAUUGGGCAAUGGAGGAAACUCUGACCCAGCAACGCCGCGUGAAUGAUGAAGGUCUUCGGAUUGUAACGUUCUGUUCUAAGGGAAGAAGAAAGUGACGGUAUCUUAGGAAUAAGCUUAGGCUAACUACGUGCCAGCAGCCGCGGGAAGACGUAGGAGGCGAGCGUUAGCCUGAAUGACAUGGCGUAAAGGGUGCGUAGGUGGUUUGGCAAGUUAGUAGCGUAACUCCAAGGCUCAACCUUGGAACUACUACUAAAACUGUUGGACUUGAGUGCAGGAGGGGCAACCGGAAUUCCUAGUGUAGCGGUGUAAUGCGUAGAUAUUAGGAGGAACACCAGUGGCGAAGGCGGGUUGCUAGACUGUAACUGACACUGAGGCACGAAAGCGUGGGGAGCAAACAGGAUUAGAUACCCGAGUAGUC